rnacentral:rRNA from 1 species
UACGUAGGGCGCAAGCGUUGUCCGGAAUUAUUGGGCGUAAAGAGCUCGUAGGCGGUUUGUCGCGUCUGCUGUGAAAACCUAAGGCUCAACCUUGGGCUUGCAGUGGGUACGGGCAGACUAGAGUGCGGUAGGGGUGACUGGAAUUCCUGGUGUAGCGGUGGAAUGCGCAGAUAUCAGGAGGAACACCGAGUGGCGAAAGGCAG